UCCAUUCACAGAUCUUGACUAUUUAACAGGAACGAUAACACAAAAUACUAUUCAGAUAAAUCAGUGGGGGAUUUGUAGGACCGUCUCUCCUCCAAAUGCAGUGACUGAAUCUUGCUUUACUAUUCUGCCUUUGAGCUCAGGAAACAAGGACCUCUGCAGCCAGCAUGUUACAGCAAAAUCUGAGAAAAAAUGAAGAUAUUUAUACCUCUGGCAAUGAAAGAGAAGAUGCUUUUUGCUGUGAUUUAUAGAAACUGACAUUAAUCUCUAUUGCUUUAUACUACACUCACAAUAAACAGCUUUGGAGAUUGAUUAAAGAGUCUGGCUGCAGCUUUCACUCAAUUUCAACAGCUCUUUUUGCUCCAUAAACUCAAAAGCAAUAUAGAUUAUGCCUUAAACAAAGCCCUUGAUAUCCAUCUCUAGAAGCAUUUACUAUUUUCUGGGCUUUGCAUUAAAAGUUAUGCAUGCAUAUGUGUUCAUGUGUAAUUUCAGGCUUUUAUAACAGAGUUUCUUCCACAACAAAUGGAAAACCAAAAUUAGCUAAAUGCACAGUUCUGGACCUCUCUUCUUCUCCUUGCCUAUUCCCAUGCCCCAAGCUUAAUUGCUGAUAAUGGACAUAUUACCAAUUACCAGUGUUUUUUAAAAUCCCACAUGAAUGAAAAAACAGCUCUCUCCAGCCUCAGCGACAUUUCCUUUGCCUCCAAUAGCAUCAGAGAAUGGUGCCUCCAUGCAAAAAAGUUUUUGUCUCCAUGACUUUCUCCUGUUCUGUUACUGACUCUUCUUAAUGUCCCUCUUCUUUAUUUUUAACCCCUUUUAAAAGAGCACUUAAAAUUUUCAGAAUCAUGUCACCUUUUGUUUCUACUGUUUUCAGCCAUGCCAAUUGCUCCUCAUCCCCUGCUUGCCAUUCAGUCCAGUGCCAGCCCUAUGUUUUUGUCUUCUCCAAGGCAAAUCCGAUCUCUUUUUGGACUUCAGCAUUUUGCACGUUUUCGUUAUCACAAAUGCUGGCUUCCAAGUUUCUCUGGCUAUAUGUGAGAAUGGUGUUCAGCUUUGGUCCUAUCUUCUUAUCUCCUAUCUGGACUCCUCAAAAUCCCAUUCUGCAGUUCUCCAGUGAAAACUUGUCAUAUGCACCUGGAUAAAUAAAAUCUCUUCUUUUCUAGCCUUUCACCUGCUGUUCUUAGAUCCCUUUAAUGAAUAGUUACAACGAAGAGUAUGCACUUCUUGGUUGCAAUGUUAAUCUAUUCACAUCCUUCUCUGCCUUCCUGUCACACUUCUACUAAUUAAUCUCAUGGACUAUGUCUCUGUCCCAAUGUGCUUAAUGACUCUGCACUACUGAUUCACAAGUUUGUGCCUGUAUUUAUCUGACAACGCGCUCCUAUCCCAUGUUAGGCCAUGAUAGGUUUCCUACAGUCCCACAAACCUCUUCAAGCACCCCUAGAAUCUCUGAGAUGAACAUACCUCUUCCUGAGCUGAUUUAAAUUUCUUCUUUUACCUACCCAAAAUUACAUAAGCUAAUUAAAGAAAUUAAAGAAAUGCUCUUACUGAAGGACUAUUAAAGUGUUGCUUUUCUUUCUCCUGUGUUGUUAGUCACUGACUGCAUGGUAGUGACCACCUUGCAAACUCCUGAGGGCUGAUUAUGGCUAUUUGGACUUGCAUAGAAUAGAUUCAAGUACUGAUAAAAAUAACAA